ACUCUGCUAGAAUAUAAAAGGGACACCUGUACACAUAGGACACAUGAGACCUGAUAAGAAGACAAAAAUCUGUGACUUUCAGUUAUGUAAUUCAGGGUAACGAUAUGAAGCUUGUUUAAUAAAAUGAUCUGGAGACUAGAAUGAAAUGCAACUGAGAUAAAGAUCCCAACUUAACUUUUUUCUGUGUCCCCACCCAAAUCUCAUGUGGAAUUGUCAUUCUCAAUUUUGGAGAUGGGGCCUGGUGGGAAGUGAUUGGAUCAUGGGGGUGGUUACUAAAGGUUUGGCAUCAUUCCCUUAGUGCUGUCUCAUGAUAGAGUUCUCAGGAGAUCUAUAGGCAUGAAUUAUUUUCUACUAAAAAAACUCCUAGCAGGGUGGAAAACAACUCUUUCUUAUGUCUAAGUUCUGAAAAAAAAGUUUGUCCUAUGUUUACAUGUAUUUACGUAAGCAAAUAUUGACAGAAGCAAUGAAUGUUUAACAACAUCAACCAGUACAUGUAUAUAAUCCCAUUUUUGGACACAGAUCAAAUACAUCUCAGCUAAUAUCAUAGAAAGUUGUUUAAAUUUGCAGUCACACUCCAAUAUAGCAAACAAGAUCAUUGGCAUGACGUGAAGAACAGAACUUAUAAAUUCACCACCACUUUCUACCCAGAACUCAGUGAUAACAGCUUGUGAGCAAACUUACCUUCUUUGAGUAGGUCACUGGGCUCCCUAAGUUUACUUGGCUCUGAUUUUAGGUUGGCAGUCUAAAGUAAACAAUAGCACUUCUUUUGAACCAGAUAGGGAAGAAUGGCUCUGAAAUAGUGCAUCCUAUAUGAAUCUUUUCUUUGUAUCUGUAUUUAAGGACACCUGAACACAUUACUGUUAAUGACAAAACAUACCUUGGCCAUCUUGGAAAUUCUUUCAUUCAAUAGGUUAUGAGUCUGUCAUGACAUUUAAAAUGAUAAUUUUGAUGAAGACAUCACAUCACAAUGAUUAAAAAAAUUCCAAGACCUAGAAAAAAUUAAAAGUUUAUUAUAUUGAAAAUUAAAAAUAGUUAAGGAUAGAUUUUAUAAAGCAUUAUUGCACCAAAAAAAAAUUCUUGGUCAAACAUUAUGUUGUAAUUCUAUAAUAGACUUUUCCAGUUUGCCCAAGGCAGUUCUAAUUUAUACCUGAUGUUUCAACACAAUAGAAAAUAACAGUGCCUUUGACUCUGAACGGAGUGCUAUGAAUUGAAGAAUAGAAAUUAUAUACUCUGUUUCAGCGUGGAUACCACAAGGAAUGAGGAAAUACUUUCCUCUUAACCACAAACCCUCAAAAACACCAACCUUGUUCCUGUUUUGGGAACUCUGUGCUAGACAUUAUCUUAGUCUAGAAUACUUACCAAAUUGUCUCAAAACUGCCUCAGGGUUGACAGAUUUUUGCUUAAAUAUAAUUUUUCAAAGCUUUUUACUGACUAUAUUAUUUAGGCAUACAUUCAACUGAAAAUAACAUAAAACCCAACUAGUAUAGCUGAAAAAGUAAGGGAUUUACUUGUUCCAUGCACCAAAUAGUUUAGAAAGGGUUAGUCGGGCUUGAAUGGCAGCUCAAUUUUCCAUCAAGUACUCAAGAAUUUUGUAUUCUAGUGUGCUUAAAUGAGUACACUUUUGUCCCUAUUCUUAUUGCUUCAUGAUCUUAAGGUAGCCGCUCCAUCUGCAAAAUCCAUGUUUACAAUAGUAAAAGGGUUUUCUCAUAGUAAGACUUUCAAAUUUUACUUGGGAACGAAUGCCAUCUUCAGAGACAUUCACCUGCCUCUUCUUGACUGGAACUAUAUUGUAUGAACACACCAAGAUGAAAGAGAAUGAGAGAAGCGGGUAUAUUUGCAUGCAGUCCUGAAAAAAAUUGGAAUCUGUUAAUAUGGGAAAUAGGGAAACAGAUUUGUUGUAAGCAAACGGCAACAUACACCACUUUGAUCAACCAAACUCAAAUAUUCUUAUCUCAGCUUCUAUGGUUUGAAUGUGUCCCCCAAAAUUCACAUGUUGGGAACUUACUACUCAUUGCGGCAGUGUUGAGAGGUGGGGCUUAAUAGAAGGUGAUUGGGUCACGAAGGCACAGCCCUCAUGAAGGCGUUCAUGCAGUCACUGUGGCUCAGUUAUCACAAGAGCGGGUAGUUAUAAAAGUAGGCCAGGGCCGGGCGCGGUGGCUCACGCCUGUAAUCCCAGCACUUUGGGAGGCCGAGGCGGGCGGAUCACGAGAUCAGGAGGUCGAGGCCAUCCUGGCUAACGCAGGGAAACCCCGUCUCUACUAAAAAAUAAAAUACAAAAAAUGGGCCGGGUGUGGCGGCGGGCGCCUGUAGUCCCAGCUACUCGAGAGGCUGAGGCAGGAGAAUGGAGCGAACCCAGGAGGUGGAGGUUCCAGUGAGCCGAGAUCGCGCCACUGCACUCCAGCCUGGGCGACAGAGCGAGACUCCCCCUAAAAAUAAAUAAAUAAAUAACUAAAAAUAAAAAAAAAGUAGGCCAGGACCCUCAUGUUUUUUCUCUCAUACAAACUCUCUUGCUGUUGUGCGCUGCACCAUGGGAUGACCUCACUAGAUGCCAGAAACGUGUUCUUUAACUUUCUAGGCUCCAGAGCCAUGAGCCGAAAUAAACUUGUAUUUUUUUUUUUUUUUUUUUUUUUUCAGACUGAGUCUUGCUCUGUCGCCCAGGCUGGAGUGCAGCCGCGCGAUCUCUGCUCACUGCAAGCUCCUCCUCCCGGGUUCACGCCUU
rnacentral:lncRNA from 10 species